rnacentral:lncRNA from 1 species
CUUUGUUUCGCCGCACCGCUCUCUACACUCUCCUCCAACUUUAUUUCUUGGUGAUAAGCCUUUCAAGCCCCUUCUUUUGAGCUUUUGUCUUGCAGUCACAUCCCACUGAAGUUCUAUGUAACUCCCAAAUAUCAGGAAAGAGAUGGAGUUUAGAAAACAAGGGAGCAACCUUGGAAGUAUAUGGCACAGUCAGGGGGCUCUGUAGCAGGAUGCCAAGAAUCUCAUAUAAAGAAUACCAUGAC